GGAGGCUUCAGAGAGGAGGUGACAUCUGAGCUGGCUUGCAAAGACUGUAGGAGUCUCGGAGGUGGAGAAGAGAGGGGAGGGAAAGCAUUCCAGUCUUGCAGAACAGCAUGUGCGAAGUCACGGAGGCGUGAAAGGACAAAGCUUGUUCCAGGAUAGCCAGGACUGUGCAUGGCUAGAAGGAAGGGUGUGGAGGUGGAGUGGCAGGAGGAGGAAGCCGAGCAGGGACAGUCUCUUGUGUCCCCUUGCCUGCCUGUCUCUGCCUUUGGCUGUGGAUCAGCAGAGCCGGUGAUGAGCUGACCCUGGAUGACCACGACAUGUCCCUCUGCCAACACUCGCCUGUGAAUGUGAUGUGAGCUGGGAGUCUGUGCGGUGGGAGGUGGUUGCCCGGCUCACGAGGGAGCCCCCCAGCGGGCCAGGAGGACCCGGCUUAGCCCAGCCUCGUUACUAGAGAGCGCUCCCAUAGAACAGAGUCUCCUGUCUCCCAUCAGCUUACUGCAGACACUCAGUGUUUGCAUUAUCCUGCCUUGAUCCACCUGCCUGGCCAUUCUGACUCCUCCAUUCAAACUGGAGAGAGCUCUAGGAGGAGGCAACGUCAAGGCCACAGGGAGGAAGUAGAGCGCUAUGGAAAAUAAGGGCUGUGCCGAGCAUUCAGCAAGCCGUACCGCGUGAUGCACCAGCCUGGUGUCUGGGACAUCAAGUGCUCAACACGUAGGGGCUGUGAAGAUGAGGACACUGAUAAAGAUAUCCCCCCGUUUCGAAGGGCCUCUGGACGUUAUGAGUCCGGCUACCGGAGGAAAACGUAAGAUUGGGAAGCACAGGUUGAAGGCUCUAAGAGGUAUUGCAAUAAACACAUCAUUGUGUUUACCUUGGUGUUUCCAACAUAUUACAGGAUAGAGACACCUCCCCGCUUCCCCCUUUCUUUCUAGGAAUACCGACCACCAUGCCAUGGGACCCACUUUGGGAACUGCUGGUCAGAGUUACUUCUCUCAUGAACAGAUAAGGAAGCUAAAGGCUUAGAAAGGAUGUGGGCCCUUGCUCAAGGUCACGUGGCAAAUUCCUGGCAGAGACAGGGCUGGAAGCCAGACUCCCUCCUGACGGUAACGCUCCCUCCACUCACUCAGCAGGAAGUCGCCCCUGACCACUGACUACGGUGAGUUCUCUGUCCAGACGCUGCCUCCCAGACAGGCCGCCCUCCCCCUCCUCCCUUCUCCAUCCUCUGGAGGAGCACAGGGAGCACAGCCGCGUGUUCUCCGUCUCCCACGCCAAGCAGAGUCAGGAAGGCAAGCCCUCUGCUGGGAAGAGCCACAUACGAGAAAGAGACCGUGGGGACUACGGACACAUGCAAACAGCUGACUUGCUACAAGCAGUGGGAGGAAAGGUGCUGUUAUCUAGUUUUUCCUGUUCCUGCUGUGUUCAUGCUGUUUGUACAGUAACAGCCUGAAAAGAAAGAACGUGCCAUAAUGCA